rnacentral:rRNA from 1 species
CCUACGGGGGGCUGCAGUGGGGAAUAUUGGACAAUGGGCGAAAGCCUGAUCCAGCCAUGCCGCGUGUGUGAAGAAGGCCUUCGGGUUGUAAAGCACUUUCAGUGGGGAAGAAAGCCUUGGGGCUAAUACCCUCGAGGAAGGACAUCACCCACAGAAGAAGCACCGGCUAACUCCGUGCCAGCAGCCGCGGUAAUACGGAGGGUGCGAGCGUUAAUCGGAAUGACUGGGCGUAAAGCGCGCGUAGGCGGUCUGAUAAGCCGGUUGUGAAAGCCCCGGGCUCAACCUGGGAACGGCAUCCGGAACUGUCAGGCUAGAGUGCAGGAGAGGAAGGUAGAAUUCCCGGUGUAGCGGUGAAAUGCGUAGAGAUCGGGAGGAAUACCAGUGGCGAAGGCGGCCUUCUGGACUGACACUGACGCUGAGGUGCGAAAGCGUGGGUAGCAAACAGGAUUAGAUACCCCAGUAGUC